rnacentral:rRNA from 1 species
GACGAACGCUGGCGGCGUGCCUAAUACAUGCAAGUCGAGCGGGGUCCAUCCAGUGGCAACACUGGGGACGACCUAGCGGCGAACGGGUGAGUAACACGUGAGGAACCUGCCCCGAAGUCUGGGAUAACCCGAGGAAACUCGAGCUAAUACCGGAUGUCCCCAUCAGAUCGCAUGGUCAGAUGGGGAAAGUCUUUUCGCUUCGGGAGGGCCUCGCGGCCUAUCAGCUAGUUGGUGGGGUAACGGCCUACCAAGGCAUCGACGGGUAGCUGGUCUGAGAGGACGAUCAGCCACACUGGGACUGAGACACGGCCCAGACUCCUACGGGAGGCAGCAGUAGGGAAUCUUGCGCAAUGGGCGAAAGCCUGACGCAGCAACGCCGCGUGGGGGAUGAAGGCUCUCGGGUUGUAAACCCCUUUCAGCAGGGACGAAAUUGACGGUACCUGCAGAAGAAGCCCCGGCCAACUACGUG